CAAGUCGAACGGUCCUCUUUAGGGAGGAUAGUGGCGGACGGGUGAGUAACACGUAGUUGACCUGCCCUAUGGUGGGGAAUAACUCCUCGAAAGAGGAGCUAAUACCGCAUAAGUUCAUACACGUGGGUGUAUGAGGAAACCCUCAGGGUAACUUGGGGGGCCAAAGGAGGGGACUGCGGCGGAUUAGCUAGUAAGUGGGGUAACGGCUCACCUAGGCGACGAUCCGUAGCUGGUCUGAGAGGACGACCAGCCACACUGGGACUGAGACACGGCCCAGACUCCUACGGGAGGCAGCAGUGAGGAAUAUUCCACAAUGGGCGAAAGCCUGAUGGAGCGACGCCGCGUGAAGGAUGAAGCCCUUUGGGGUGUAAACUUCUUUUAGGAGGGAUGAUACGCCGUGUAUGGUAUAUGCGGCUAAGACAGUACCUCCUGAAUAAGCAUCGGCUAACUACGUGCCAGCAGCCGCGGUAAUACGUAGGAUGCAAGCGUUGUCCGGAUUUACUGGGCGUAAAGCGCGCGCAGGCGGCACUCUAAGUACGUCGUGAAAUCUCCCGGCUCAACCGAGAGGGUGCGAAGUAGACUAGGGAGCUAGAGGUCGGUAGAGGGGGGGUGGAAUUGCUGGUGUAGCGGUGAAAUGCGUAGAGAUCAGCAAGAACACCCGUGGCGAAGGCGGCCCCCUGGGCCGUACCUGACGCUGAGGCGCGAAGGCUAGGGGAGCGAA
rnacentral:rRNA from 1 species